AUUUUACUUUUUAUUUUAUUUAUGUGACUUUGACCUCUCUUCCUAGUUUGGGAUGAUUGCAAUUUCGUAUUCAAUACACACAGAGCCCUGUCUGAAUGGAAGUUUGGAACCACGUUCAAUUAUCUUUACAAGUGUCCUGUCAAUAAUAAAGAUAAGGACAUUAGUAACAUACGUAAUGUGAUACAGAAGGAAUUUUUGUCCCUUGUGGAUGCUGGUUUGGCUAUAAACUGCGCCUACCCUCUGAUGUUACAAGAAAAACGGAAAGUGGAUGUGAUCAUUUCAUUGGACUACAGUGAUGGGGAUAUUUUUAUGACAUUGAAUCAGGCUAAGGCUUAUGCUGAUGCACACAAACUUCCUUUUCCCCAUGUGGACAAGAAAGGCCAAAAACCUCAGGACUGCAAUGUGUACAGUGAUGCCUCAGCUCCAACAGUGAUCCACAUGCCUCUGUUCAAUGACAGCAAUAAAGACGGCAAGUAGUGAUACAGGGAUUUCUAUUAUAAAUAAUAUGUACGUGUUUAAGUGUGGGGUUUGGUAGAGACAGUUUUGUCUGGCAGUGUUAUGAACUAGAGAGUUCCUAAGCACACUAGUCUCAAAAUAAUUGUCAUAAAUGCUGACUAGAGGAGGAAAACUGUCAAAAUAACAGCAGAUAGUCACAACAAGGGCAAACAUUGAAUGUUUAUAAAGAAAAG